UAUUGCACAAUGGGGGAAACCCUCAUGCAGCGACGCCGCGGGAGUGAAGAAGUAUUUCGUCAUGUAAAGCUCUAUCAGCAGGGAAGACAAUGACGGUACGUGAUUAAGAAGACCCGGCUAACUACGUGCCAGCAGCCGCGGUAAUACGUAGGGGGCAAGCGUUAUCCGGAUUUACUGGGUGUAAAGGGAGCGUAGACGGCAGUACAAGUCUGGAGUGAAAUGCCGGGGCUUAACCCCGGAACUGCUUUGGAAACUGUGCAGCUAGAGUGCAGGAGAGGUAAGUGGAAUUCCUAGUGUAGCGGUGAAAUGCGUAGAUAUUAGGAGGAACACCAGUGGCGAAGGCGGCUUACUGGACUGUAACUGACGUUGAGGCUCGAAAGCGUGGGGAGCAAACAGG
rnacentral:rRNA from 1 species